UUCUCUAACAUCUGGAAGUCCAAAGUGCCUCCUAAGAUUAAGAUAUUUCUUUGGCAAGCCUUCAGAGGCCGCCUCCCUGCGGCUGAUCAGAUUCGCAAGCGCAAUGGUCUGGGUUCAGAGUUCUGUCACCUUUGUGGUGCCUUGGAAAAUACGGACCACAUCUUUUUUCAUUGUGUCUUGGCUAAGUUCGUUUGGAGUUGCGUCAGAUCUUGGCUUCAAGUCUCUUGGAAUCCCUCGUCCUUCUCUGAGCUUAGAACCCUAGCCAAGGUUCUGGUUGGGGUUACUAAGAGGGUGUUCUGGGUUGGCUUGGGUGCCUUAUGUUGGUCUCUUUGGACUACUAGGAACAAAUUUACUAUCGAGCAUAUCUUUCCAUCUAAACCUGCUGACGUUCUUUUCAAAUCUUGUAUCAUCUUGCAGCAGUGGAGAUUAUUGACUAAAGAAGACGAUCGGGAUGCCCUGGACGCGCUCAUCGCCAAAAUUCGGGCUUCGGCAUCCUUCUUCUCCGGGCUGGGUCCUAACGUCUGA
rnacentral:rRNA from 1 species